GUACUCGGGUUUCUCUUCAGUGCGAAUAAAUAUUUCGGUAUUCACUAAAGAUUUCCGUGGAGAGGAACAACAUAAAUGAGUCUGUAACCAAUUUUUUGAGCUCAACUUAGUUGAGC
rnacentral:snRNA from 1 species